GUACAAGAGCACCGGGACACUCCGGCAGCAGGGAGACAGAGCAGACAGUCGGAGGGAGACGGGAUAGAGCAGCAGCAGCUGGAAGACACAGACACAUAGAGAAAAUCCCGACCCGGACUCUGCAAAGCAUCAUUUCUUACCGCCGUCGGAUUAAACCCGUCCCCGUCUCCAACACCCAAAUCACGCCAAGACAUGAGCUUCUCCCGCUGAACCUUAUUGAUGCUGAACUGGGAGCUGGCUCCUGACAGCAUCAUACAGAAAAAGAAAAAUUGAAAAGUCAAAGUGUAUGUGAAAUGUUUUGGUGUGUCUCUUUGUCUGACUGCCUCCCUG